rnacentral:rRNA from 1 species
UCUACGGCUACCUUGUUACGAGAGUUUGAUCCUGGCUCAGGAUGAACGCUAGCGGGAGGCCUAACACAUGCAAGUCGAACGGGAAUGGUAGCAAUACCAUGAGAGUGGCGCACGGGUGAGUAACGCGUAUGCAACCUGCCUUUAACAGGGGGAUAGCCCGUUGAAAGACGGAUUAAUACCCCAUAGUAUUUAGUUUCUGCAUGGGAAUUAAAUUAAAGCUCCGGCGGUUAAAGAUGGGCAUGCGUGACAUUAGCUAGUUGGUGAGGUAACGGCUCACCAAGGCGACGAUGUCUAGGGGUUCUGAGAGGAUGAUCCCCCACACUGGUACUGAGACACGGACCAGACUCCUACGGGAGGCAGCAGUGAGGAAUAUUGGUCAAUGGCCGCAAGGCUGAACCAGCCAUCCCGCGUGAAGGAAGACUGCCCUAUGGGUUGUAAACUUCUUUUCUGCACCAAGAAAAAGAUCCUCGAGAGGGUCCUUGCCGGUAGUGCAGGAAUAAGCAUCGGCUAACUCCGUGCCAGCAGCCGCGGUAAUACGGAGGAUGCAAGCGUUAUCCGGAUUCAUUGGGUUUAAAGGGUGCGUAGGCGGCUUUUUAAGUCAGUGGUGAAAUCCUGCCGCUUAACGGUAGAAUUGCCAUUGAUACUGAAGGGCUUGAGUGCAGUUGAGGUAGGCGGAAUGUGUAGUGUAGCGGUGAAAUGCUUAGAUAUUACACAGAACACCGAUUGCGAAGGCAGCUUACUAAGCUGCAACUGACGCUGAUGCACGAAAGCGUGGGGAUCAAACAGGAUUAGAUACCCUGGUAGUCCACGCUGUAAACGAUGCUCACUCGCUGUUUGCGAUAUACCGUAAGCGGCCAAUCGAAAGAAUUAAGUGAGCCACCUGGGGAGUACGAUCGCAAGGUUGAAACUCAAAGGAAUUGACGGGGGCCCGCACAAGCGGAGGAACAUGUGGUUUAAUUCGAUGAUACGCGAGGAACCUU